UACGUAGGGGCCUAGCGUUGUCCGGAAUUACUGGGCGUAAAGCGCGCGUAGGCGGUUUGUCAAGUCAGGAGUGAAAUCCCAGGGCUUAACCUUGGAAUUGCUUUUGAAACUGACAGGCUAGAGAUCGGUAGGGGAUAGUAGAAUUCUUGGUGUAGAGGUGAAAUUCGUAGAUAUCAAGAGGAAUACCAGUGGCGAAGGCGGCUAUCUGGACCGAUUCUGACGCUGAGGCGCGAAAGCGUGGGGAGCAAACAGG
rnacentral:rRNA from 1 species